rnacentral:misc_RNA from 1 species
GAUGAAGAACGCAGCGAAAUGCGAUAAGUAAUGUGAAUUGCAGAAUUCAGUGAAUCAUCGAAUCUUUGAACGCACCUUGCACCCUUUGGCAUUCCGAAGGGUAUGCUCGUUUGAGUGUCAUUGUACUCUCACACUUCUGAUCCUUUGGAUUGGGAGCGGUGGACUUGGGUGUUGCUGCUUUACUGUGGCUCACCUCAAAUGCAUUCGUGCAACUCUUGGUUGGACAUAGUACGGCGUGAUAAGUAUCUUCGCCGGCACCUCGCAAGAGGGUGGCUGAUCAGGAGCUCUGUGCUUUCCAAAUGUCUUCAGACAACAACUGACAACUUGACCUCAAAUCGAGUAGGACCACCCGCUGAACUUAAGCAUAUCAAUAAGCGGAGGA